rnacentral:rRNA from 1 species
UACGUAGGGCGCAAGCGUUAUCCGGAAUUAUUGGGCGUAAAGAGCUCGUAGGCGGUUUGUUGCGUCUGCCGUGAAAGUCCGGGGCUCAACUCCGGAUCUGCGGUGGGUACGGGCAGACUAGAGUGAUGUAGGGGAGACUGGAAUUCCUGGUGUAGCGGUGAAAUGCGCAGAUAUCAGGAGUAACACCGGUGGCGAAGGCGGGUCUCUGGGCCGAUACUGACGCUGAGGAGCGAAAGCGUGGGGAGCGAACAGG